rnacentral:tRNA from 1 species
GAUGUAGCUCAGUGGUAGAGCAUGUGCUUAGCAUGUACUAGGUCUGAGUUCAAUCCCCAGGAUCA